GAGUGUCCUGGUAUCCCUCACGUCGACCACAGGUUUGGUCAGAUGGGCACAUUGGAAGGCGAGACAGGCUCAGAUGAACUUCCUCACACAGAUCAACAAGCCAGCAAUGAACUGGGAUCAAUGGACCAUAAUUCCCCACGACCUGAAGUUUCAACUAAGGUGGUGGAUAGAAGGAUCCAACUUGACCAAGGGUUUUCCCCAGGAAGAUCCACAAUGGGAAGUCAUUACUACAGAUGCAAUUACAAGAGGAUGGGGAGCUCACUACAAGAACCCUGUUGCGCAAGGAGUAUGGAACAACCAGACCCAUCUUCUUCACUCCAACAUCCUGGAGAUGGGGCAGUCUUCAAGGCACUGAUGUCUUUUGCCACUUACCUGAAGGGGACGAGGCUGUUG